GCUGGGCAUGGUGGCGUGUGCCUGUAAUCCCAGCUACUCAGGAGGCUGAGGCAGGAGAAUCGCUGGAACUCGGGAGGCAGAGGGUGCAGUGAGCCGAGAUUGGACCACUGCACUCCAGCCUGGGUGACACAGCAAGACUCUAUCUCAA
rnacentral:sRNA from 1 species